UGCAGCAUCAAUCUCCACUUUAUUUAUAAUGCAAGUUACAGCUGAAAUGAUAUAAAGAAGAGGGCAUUCCAAUUUACAGAUCAAUAAAAGUGCCACGCAAGCUUUUGAUUCAUAGUUUGCUACCAGCAUUUUCAGAAUUCACUCUCAAUAUCUACCCAGGGAUAGGUAUUACCAUAUUUUCUUCUCGUUUUUCUCCUCUCUUUUUCUUGUAUUUGUAUGUGAGUCCAGUUUAAGGGAAGAUGAUGAAUCUUAUAGUGCUUACCUCAAU
rnacentral:misc_RNA from 1 species